CAAGACGUGUUCGGUUAUCGGUCAUCCACACAACGGCUUUCAUGACUGUCCUCGGAUAACGGAGUACCUGGUUUUAGGGACAACUUGCCGAUACUUCUGCAAUGAAGGUUAUAAAUUGCAAGGCCCAUCUCGUCAGGAAUGUGAUGGAACAGUAGCGACAUUAAGCUGGACUCCACUGCAAGCACCGAUCUGCCAAAGAAUAACUUGUGGUCCAUUGGAACACCCUUUGCAUGGUUCGGUAUCAUGCACACAGGGUGACUAUUACUUCAGCAUAUGUUCUUAUAGUUGUGAGCAAGGAUAUGGUCUCGAACCAGGAGUGGUGUCAAAUCUCGUUUGCCUGUCAUAUGGUUGGUCUGGAGUGCCAGCUACAGAAUGCACAGAUAAUGAAAGUCCGGUAUUAUCUGGAUG